UGCGUAGGCGGUUCGUUAAGUUAGAUGUGAAAACUCUGGGCUCAACCCAGAGCCUGCAUCUAAAACUGGCGGGCUAGAGUUCUGGAGGGGGUAGUGGAAUUCCUGGUGUAGCGGUGAAAUGCGUAGAUAUCAGGAGGAACACCGGUGGCGAAGGCGGCUACCUGGACAGAAACUGACGAUGAGGCACGAAAGCUAGGGGAGCAAACAGGAUUAGAUACCCUGGUAGUCCUAGCCCUAAACGAUGGAUACUUGGUGUGUCCGGGAUUGAAUCCGGGCGUGCCGAAGCUAACGCAUUAAGUAUCCCGCCUGGGGAGUACGGUCGCAAGGCUGAAA
rnacentral:rRNA from 1 species